GACGUCGAUAUUCGACGUUAUAAACACGAUCAACUUCGGUGUUUAUGUCAUAAACACGAUCAACUUUGGUGUUUAUGGCGUCGAUAUUCGACGUCAUAAACACGAACAACUUUGGUGUUUAUGGCGUCGAUAUUCGACGUCAUAAACACCAUCAACUUUGGUGUUUAUGGCGUCGAUAUUCGACGUCAUAAACACUAUCAACUUUGGUGUUAUCGACGUCAUAAACACGAUCAACUUUGGUGUUUAUGACGUUGAUAUUCAACGUC